rnacentral:rRNA from 1 species
AUGCAGCAAGCCCGUUCAUCGGGAAGAAAGAAGCCAUCUCCUCAGCAAGGUGUUCGUAACGCAGCUCUGUCCAGUAGUCCCCAACAAGCUCUGGCUAACCCUCUUACGCCUGAUGAAAAAGUGCAGCACCAGCUCAUGGAUCUACUUCUCAACUGCAGGAAGAGAGGAGAGAAGAGCUGCUAUCAAGUCAGGGCCAUGGCAAUCAUUCCUUGUAAAGAUUUCAUUUUCCUCGUUGAGUUUGACGAUGUCCUCCAUAUGGGAUAUGUCGAGCUGGCACUGUGGAUUGUGAACAGACUCAAAUAUAACCAAGACGUGAAUUUGCUGAGGCGGACGUUAGUGAAGUUCCUAGAGGCGGAACUUCCUCAUGCGAGAUCCGAAGUGAGAGACACCAGCUUGGAUUUCGUGGGCACUCCAAAGUCAAUGAAGCCUCUAUCUGAGUACACAUAUAGAGAUGUGGUAGAAUUGGAUACCUCAGUGUUGGGCAAUAUGCAUCAGCUGCUGAAAGUUAUCUUCCAUGGGAGGUUGAUAUACUUUGCUGGCUGCGAUCACCUCUAUGAUGAGUGGCGUGCCGGAAGAAGCUGGGCUGGGGAGUUCGAAGCCAAGGAUGUUUAUUUCUUGGAAUACAGCCAGAGCAGGAUAUCAUGCUGGAUCAGUGCCACUCCUACUGCGACAGGAAAGGGCUGCACUUCGACAGCCAAGACCCAUGAUAUGAAGAAGCGGAUGAAAGAGAUGAUGCCAAAGUACCAAAUCAAUGAUCAGUUCCCUGCAAACUUUGAUGCUCUGGAGAAAGACUUUGAGGCUUUAAAUGCGACUUCCAUCACCAUGACCCUGGUAUUGCAAUAUCUGCCCUAUCACGUGGCUAUGAUGCCGCUGCCUGCAACUGAAUAUCUCACCACGAAGCUGCACACAGUUCUUCAGAGUGUUCGUAUGGAUGUGGCCGAGUUUCAGGUGUACAAGGCAGUCUUUCACGACAAACCAGAUGGUGGAGAUGACUGGAGGGAGCCGUAUUUCAACUCGCCUGACCAAACUCUCAGGAGUGUUUAUCGGUAUGACAGGACAGGUACAGUGCCGAAGAAAGCUGUUGUGCAGGGAUCCGGGCAAGCUGGGCAGGGAUCCGGGCAAGCUGGGCAGGGAUCCGGGCAAGAUGGGCAGGGAUCCGGGCAAGAUGGGCAGGGAUCCGGGCAAGAUGGGCAGGAAUCCAGGCAAGCGAGGGGAGAUCCGGCUGGUAUUGACAAAUUCAAGGAGACUCGAGAAGGCAAGCUGGGUUAUAAGAGGCACAUUAAUAUGCAUGUGCAUCAGCAUGUGCCUGGCAGCACUCCAGGGCAGCAGAGGACCUUGACAGGCGUGUUUGAAGCUGAGUUGUAUUCAUCAAGUAACAACGGUAUAUUGGCUGAGAUAUCAAGGGAGCUGUUCAGUGGCAGGUCUACACAGAUGAAAUUGGCCACCCAGCUUGGCAUCAUCUAUGAGGCGUACCGGGCGAUGAGAUACAUUGGGGACAAGGGUGCUGUUGCUGUUGCUGAUGAUGGAACAACAUGA